rnacentral:rRNA from 1 species
CCUACGGGGGGCAGCAGUGGGGAAUAUUGCGCAAUGGGGGAAACCCUGACGCAGCAACGCCGCGUGAAUGAAGAAGGCCUUAGGGUUGUAAAGUUCUGUUUUCUGGGACGAUAAUGACGGUACCAGAGGAGGAAGCCACGGCUAACUACGUGCCAGCAGCCGCGGUAAUACGUAGGUGGCAAGCGUUGUCCGGAUUUACUGGGCGUAAAGGAUGCGUAGGCGGAUGUUUAAGUGAGAUGUGAAAUACCCGAGCUCAACUUGGGUGCUGCAUUUCAAACUGGAUAUCUAGAGUGCAGGAGAGGAAAGCGGAAUUCCUAGUGUAGCGGUGAAAUGCGUAGAGAUUAGGAAGAACACCAGUGGCGAAGGCGGCUUUCUGGACUGUAACUGACGCUGAGGCAUGAAAGCGUGGGGAGCAAACAGGAUUAGAUACCCUGGUAGUC